rnacentral:rRNA from 1 species
UACGGGGGGGGGUAAGCGUUGUUCGGAAUUACUGGGCGUAACGGGCUCGUAGUCGGCCAACUAAGUCAGACGUGAAAUCCCUCAGCUUAACUGGGGAACUGCGUCUGAUACUGGAUGGCUUGGAUUCGGGAGAGGAAUGCGGAAUUCCAGGUGUAGCGGUGAAAUGCGUAGAUAUCUGGAGGAACACCGGUGGCGAAGGCGACCUUCUGGACAGAGACUGACACUGAGGCACGAAAGCGUGGGGAGCAAACAGG